GUUUGACUCUUUAGUAAAAGAGAGUCACACUGCAGAGGUUUCUAGACUCCGUCUGGAAAAAGAAGUGUUCAAAUAAAGUCUGUAACCUCAUACUACAAAAGCUACAGAGUUAAAACCUGGUAUUCGAGAGUAAUUUACUUACCUGCUCCGGUGCCAGUGAGAAAGUGGGAAGCCUGAGAAGCUUAAAGGUACCUCAGCCUGGUUGCUCGCUGUUCCUGGGGUCCCUCAGCGGCUUCCGUGGGUCCUUUCUUUGGAAACCAGAACUGUUAAGAGAUAAACUGAGGAAUAUUAAAAAAAAUCAAAUAUUUAUAUGAGCGAAAAUUUAUUUGAAUCGGCAGUGCCUAACUGGAAGCGAUUAGCAGCGCUACACCUGACAGGAGCUUCGAGAGCAAGGAGAAAGCAGAAGAAGCAAAGUAAGAAAAUUACUAAUUUGCUAUAGCUGGUCGCCUGGCUGGCCUUUUGACUUGGUUAUCCUUAGCAUUUUGACUUUGUAACUUUGAAGCAUUUACAGGCUUAUAUUUUGGUUUGCUUACAGUGGGCAGCCAAGUUAUUAGAGCUACAUCAAUGAAUUGCCUCCCUGUUUAAUUAAUAUAACAGACCACAUUUAACGUUAGUUCCCCAUCACUGACUUUCAAAGCAGGAUUUAGAUUUUGCUUUAGGCAAUUCUAGUCUAAAUAAAUGUAUAGCAAGCAGCAGAAAUAAAAGCAUUUUUGACUUCUGGAAAUAGGUGAUGAUAGUGGCUAUGUUUUUUUUGUUUGUUUUCUAAUUUAAGUCAUCUUUCAAGAAAGAAAAAAAGUCGAAAGAACCACCAAAAAUAGUUCUUUAAUUAUUAUUGUCUUUUUCAUAAUUUGACUUUUUUGUGAGUGAAGUUGAAAAGAAAAUUAAAAUUUUACGCUUAAUUAUUUCAUUUUACAGGAAAUAGAAAUUCUUAGCAAACUAAUAGAGGGCAAAGCAUGAGAAAUAUUUUCAUAACUAGUAAUACUAAUGUACCAAUAUUAGUAAUUCAUUUUUUAUAAAAGAAAUUCCAUAUAUAAGCCCUAUGUGGUAGUAGUCAAAAUGAUUCUAAUGAAGUAAACAAUGAUUCUUCUCAAAAUAUAUAACUUGCUCAUACAUAUGCAUGGGUUGUUAUCUCUGUGUAAUUGUUUUUCCAUAAUAAAAACAGUACUUUAAUAUCCAUAAGGAACACUGCCUUUGCCUCUUGAUGCUGAAUUUGAUUCAUAUUCGUAUUUAAAAGUCUUUGGAAUCAAAACUGCAUAUAUGUUUCAACCUGUUGUUUCACUGUUGGCUCCCUGAUGGAAAGAAAUGAGACUCUCUUGUUCAUCUUUGAAAUUACAGAAAAAUUAGGAAAGUAUUUCACAAAGUAAAAACUUAUUAAUUUCUUGUUGACUUUUAUAGAUGAAGUGAUCAAUUUAGGUAUAACACUUUUUCACCAUACUAGAUAGCUUUAUAAUAAAAGAAUAUGACUGAUUUUCCUACAUUCAUUAAAAGGAAAGAAAAAAAUAAGACUACAACUAUCUAAGGAGUACUAUGCAUAAAAGUAAAAACAACUGCUAAGCAAAUUAUACUACUACUAUCUAUUUAUAUUUUUUCUUUGUCUCUUUUUCUUUAUAUCACCAUAUUUCUCUAUAUCACUAUGUUGGUAUGUCAUGUAUUUUUAUUAAUAGAAAAUGCAAAUGUUAUGAAUAUUCUGUUUAUUGAACACUUUUUAUUUAUACAUUAUAUACAUUUUACCCUAGCAUUAAUUUUUAUUGCUUAUUAUUUUUACUAAUUUGUAGUCUCUAUAUACUAAAUUUGCCUCACCAAACCCCUAUUGAUGAAGACUAGGAUGUCUCCACAUUUUCAGAAACCAGGAUGCUUAUGUUUUAUAUAGCUGUCUAUGACAAAUACAUAAAUUAAUAUGUCAAAUACAAAAUAAUGACAAAUAUAUAUUUGCAUUAUAAAAUUCUUUGACAGGAGUUCCCGUCACAGCUUAGUGGUUAACGAAUCUGACUAGGAACCAUGAGGUCGUGGGUUCAAUCCCUCGUUAAGAGUCCGGUGUUGCCGUGAGCUGUGGUGUAGGUUGCAGAUGUGGCUCGGAUCCCAUGUUGCUGUGGCUCUGGUGUUGGCAUGUGGCUAUAGCUCCAAUUAGACCCCUACCCUGGGCACCUCCAUAUGUUGCCAGAGCAGCUCUAGGAAGUGGCAAAAAGACAAAAAUAAAUAAAUAAAUAAAUCUUUGACAAAUAUAUAAAAUAUGGUAGUGUAUAAAUACAUAAAAUAUUAAAAGUAUAUAUAAUUAUUCCUUUAAGAAAAAUUUAGAAAAGCAUCUAAUCAGUCAAACAUUAUAAGGGUGUUAAGGUUUUCAAAAAUGUGUAGUUAACAUACUUUUGAAUUUUUAUCCUGUUAUAUCUUUACCACUUUGUACAAUGGAAUAGGAAUGUGUCUGGAAAAGGAUACAAACUCUUUUGAAAUAAUGAGUAAAUAUUCAUCUAAGCCAUCAUUAGGAGACACCUCAGAAGAGAGGUUAUAUAAAUGUUGGUGUCCUUGGCAUAUUGUUAAAUAAACAAUUAUUUAAAUGCAAUUAAAACAGUUAAGAUGAAAAAUAUUAUCUAAGUAGAAAGAUUCUCCUGAAGAGAAAAGAUGAUUUCAGAUAAUGGUCUAAGCAAUUCUACCAUAUAUGCUUAGGUACAGGAAGAGAAGUCUUUAAGGAAGAAAGAAGGAAAACCCAUAGGUGUAGGAGAAAAACAGAAAAUUGAGAUGUCACUAAAGAAGGAACUCAGGAAAGAGGAAAUGGCAAGUGGUAUCACCCAAAAUUUAUUUAGCAUUAAAGAAGCUAUUGUCAACUACCUGGAAAAUGGUACAAAACUGAAAAUUGUGAGGGUUGCAAUCCGGUGGACAAAAUAGAUAAUCAAAUAAGGGAAUAAUAUUCUGAUAAAUUGAUAUUUAAAAUGUGAGGUGCCAUUAAAAUGGUCACAAGGAUAAAAUUUUAUAAAGUUGUUUAUGUUUAAAAUUCUUGAAUAUUUAGAGAAGACACAGAUGGAAAGCAUCCCUUGGGUUUGGUGACAUGACUUUGAUUAAUUAUAUCUAUAAGAAUGAUUUCAGUAAAGUGGUUGAAUUUAAGUUUCAUAGGAAGGGGAUUGCAGAAUAAGAUUUAAUGGGAGAGAAGUAUGUAGAACUUAUUUUAAAUAUUAGUGAAGAGAAGGAUGAAAUAAAGUAAUAGUAUUGUCAGUGGUAUGAGUUUCCUAAUAAUUUUGUAAAACAUGUAGUAAGGGUAAUAGAUUGCAUACAUUAAAAGAUCAUUAUACUCGAGAUGUCAGAAUGAGUGGAGGAGGUGGUCCUCAGAGACAUGGAGGUAAUGGACUUGAGAAUUGGUUAUGAAUUCUUGUGGAAAAGAAAAUGAUAGGAGAAUGAUUUAGGAUCUUCGAAGAGACUGCAGAUGAGUGACCAAGUCUGAAGUGAGUGUGUGUGUGUGUGUGUGUGUGUGUGUGUGUGUGUGUGUGUUGGGGGGAAGGUAUUGGAUGCAGAAAUACUUUAGGUAAAUAUACUUUAUUCCCUUUUGAUAGUAAUAUUUUCUAAGUAAUUUGUUUUUUAUGAAAUUAGCCUUCCUAAAGACAAUAUGCAUAAUAUUCCAAUUCCUCCAUAAAUAAAAAUAAUUGCACAGAGAUAACACCCAACAGGAAGAAAUAUUAUAGAUCAUACAGUGAUUGAAAUGAUCUCUGAUUCAUUGUGUAAGUUGUAAAUACUCUGCUAAAUUGACUAUUAGACAAACCUGGAGUUAAUAGUAAAAGCUUGGUUGGAAAUGUGUUCCUUCUAAAGAAAUGUUCUCAUUUAAUUUUCAUCUCUGUUUGAGAAGUACUAGAAAAAACAACCAUUAAAAAAAACACUAUGAUGUUACCUUUUUAUCUCAAAAUCAUCCUAAUUAUGGCUCAUAUUUUGAGCAAUAUUCAGUAACUGUCAUCACUGCAAUUUGUUUGACAGCAGUGAGGCUGCAGAAGGCAGAUAAAAUACUUGUCUUGUUAUUAGACACACUAUAGAGUUUUAUUGCAACAUAAAUAAAAUUUGUCAUUUCUGAUUUUUUAAAAUAUCUUCUUUCUUCCCAAAUUGACAACCACUAAUACAUUUUUAAUGAAGAAACAUGUUCUACUAUUUUAUAUUAUCAUUAUUUUUUAAAGAAAUGCCAAAAAGUUUAAUAUUGUACACAUACAUGGUUUUCCAACCAGUUUAAGAUAUAAAGCACACACUCCCCAACUUAGGUUCUUUCCUCUUCAUUUCUCCCCCAACCAAGGAUGGUAUUAUUACAUUUUCCUAUGUGUCUUCAGACUUUUAAUACAUAUGAAUAUAUCUACGUAUAUUUUAUUUUUUGCGUCAUAGAUUUUAAAGUUAAAUACUUCAUAACAAUGUUUUUGUGUAAUUUGUUUUUUCAGUUAAUUAGUUUAUGACAUUUAUCUGUGUUGAUAGUUUAACUCAAGUAUGUAUUUUCAUCAAUUAUUAGUAUUUUAUUGUAUAGUUUAACUUUAAACAAUGCUAAAAUUGGGGCACUGACCUCCUGUGCAGUUGAAAAAAUCUGCAUAUACCUUUUGACUCCCCCCUGCCAUAUUUUAGUAGUAGCCUACUGUUGACCAGAAGCCUUACUGAUAGCAUAGGCAGCCAAUUAAAAAUAUUUUGUGGAGUUCCCAUCGUGGCGCAGUGGUUAACAAAUCCGACUAGGAACCAUGAGGUUGCGGGUUCGGUCCCUGCCCUUGCUCAGUGGGUUAAGGAUCCGGCGUGCCGUGAGCUGUGGUGUAGGUUGCAGACGCGGCUCGGAUCCUGUGUUGCUAUGGCUCUGGCGUAGGCCGGUGGCUACAGCUCCGAUUCGACCCCUAGCCUGGGAACCUCCAUAUGCUGCAGGAGCGGCCCAAGAAAUAGCAGAAAG
rnacentral:lncRNA from 1 species